rnacentral:rRNA from 1 species
GGUUAUUGAUUUGCUUAUUGCACCACAUGUGUUUUUUAUUGAACAAAUUUCUUUGGUGGCGGGAGCAAUCCUACCGCCAGAGGUUAUAACUAAACCAAACUUUUUAUUUACAGUCAAACUUGAUUUAUUAUUACAAUAGUCAAAACUUUCAACAACGGAUCUCUUGGUUCUCGCAUCGAUGAAGAACGCAGCGAAAUGCGAUACGUAAUAUGAAUUGCAGAUAUUCGUGAAUCAUCGAAUCUUUGAACGCACAUUGCGCCCUUUGGUAUUCCAAAGGGCAUGCCUGUUUGAGCGUCAUUUCUCCCUCAAACCCCCGGGUUUGGUGUUGAGCAAUACGCUAGGUUUGUUUGAAAGAAUUUAACGUGGAAACUUAUUUUAAGCGACUUAGGUUUAUCCAAAAACGCUUAUUUUGCUAGUGGCCACCACAAUUUAUUUCAUAACUUUGACCUCAAAUCAGGUAGGACUACCCGCUGAACUUAAGCAUAUCAUAAGCCGAAGGAA